rnacentral:rRNA from 1 species
UCUCCUGGAAACGGGUGGUAAUGCCGGAUGUUCCACAUGAGCGCAUGCGAGUGUGGGAAAGGCUUUUUGCGGCAUGGGAUGGGGUCGCGUCCUAUCAGCUUGUUGGUGGGGUAACGGCCUACCAAGGCGUUGACGGGUAGCCGGCCUGAGAGGGCGACCGGCCACAUUGGGACUGAGAUACGGCCCAGACUCCUACGGGAGGCAGCAGUGGGGAAUAUUGCACAAUGGGCGCAAGCCUGAUGCAGCGACGCCGCGUGCGGGAUGGAGGCCUUCGGGUUGUAAACCGCUUUUGUUCAAGGGCAAGGCACGGUUUCGGCCGUGUUGAGUGGAUUGUUCGAAUAAGCACCGGCUAACUACGUGCCAGCAGCCGCGGUAAUACGUAGGGUGCAAGCGUUAUCCGGAUUUAUUGGGCGUAAAGGGCUCGUAGGCGGUUCGUCGCGUCCGGUGUGAAAGUCCAUCGCUUAACGGUGGAUCCGCGCCGGGUACGGGCGGGCUUUGAGUGCGGUAGGGGAGACUGGAAUUCCCGGUGUAACGGUGGAAUGUGUAGAUAUCGGGAAGAACACCA